UACGUAGGUGGCAAGCGUUGUCCGGAAUUAUUGGGCGUAAAGGGCGCGUAGGCGGUACCUUAAGUCAGAUGUGAAAACCCGAGGCUUAACUUCGGAGGUGCAUUUGAAACUGGGGAACUAGAGUGCAGGAGAGGAAAGUGGAAUUCCUAGUGUAGCGGUGAAAUGCGUAGAUAUUAGGAGGAACACCAGUGGCGAAGGCGACUUUCUGGACUGUAACUGACGCUGAGGCGCGAAAGCGUGGGGAGCAAACAGG
rnacentral:rRNA from 1 species